AGGAGGUAAUGCAAAGUUCAACAGAGAUGGCCUGAAUUCAGCCUUAGUUUGUUCUAUCUUCAAUGAAUAUUAACUGGGUAGUUUAAACUCAGGGCUUAGUGAGCAGUACCCAAAGGAUUAAAGUUAAGCUAUAUACAAAUCCUCUCUAUUACAGUAUUUGUUUAAAAAUGCAUUUUGACAUCACAUUAUUACAAGCACAGAUCUGAAUGUUUUAUAAGCACC